GGGCCGCUAGCUCAGUCGGUAGAGCACCUCCCUUUUAAGGAGGGGGCCGUUGGUUCGAGUCCAACGCGGCUCA
rnacentral:tRNA from 1 species